rnacentral:rRNA from 1 species
UUCGGGGUGGAUUAGUGGCGAACGGGUGAGUAACACGUGGGCAAUCUGCCCUUCACUCUGGGACAAGCCCUGGAAACGGGGUCUAAUACCGGAUAUGACUACCGGCCGCAUGGUCUGGUGGUGGAAAGCUCCGGCGGUGAAGGAUGAGCCCGCGGCCUAUCAGCUUGUUGGUGGGGUGAUGGCCUACCAAGGCGACGACGGGUAGCCGGCCUGAGAGGGCGACCGGCCACACUGGGACUGAGACACGGCCCAGACUCCUACGGGAGGCAGCAGUGGGGAAUAUUGCACAAUGGGCGAAAGCCUGAUGCAGCGACGCCGCGUGAGGGAUGACGGCCUUCGGGUUGUAAACCUCUUUCAGCAGGGAAGAAGCGAAAGUGACGGUACCUGCAGAAGAAGCGCCGGCUAACUACGUGCCAGCAGCCGCGGUAAUACGUAGGGCGCAAGCGUUGUCCGGAAUUAUUGGGCGUAAAGAGCUCGUAGGCGGCUUGUCGCGUCGGAUGUGAAAGCCCGGGGCUUAACCCCGGGUCUGCAUUCGAUACGGGCAGGCUAGAGUUCGGUAGGGGAGAUCGGAAUUCCUGGUGUAGCGGUGAAAUGCGCAGAUAUCAGGAGGAACACCGGUGGCGAAGGCGGAUCUCUGGGCCGAUACUGACGCUGAGGAGCGAAAGCGUGGGGAGCGAACAGGAUUAGAUACCCUGGUAGUCCACGCCGUAAACGUUGGGAACUAGGUGUGGGCGACAUUCCACGUUGUCCGUGCCGCAGCUAACGCAUUAAGUUCCCCGCCUGGGGAGUACGGCCGCAAGGCUAAACUCAAAGGAAUUGACGGGGGCCCGCACAAGCAGCGGAGCAUGUGGCUUAAUUCGACGCAACGCGA